rnacentral:misc_RNA from 1 species
GAUGAAGAACGUAGCGAAAUGCGAUAAGUAAUGUGAAUUGCAGAAUUCAGUGAAUCAUCGAAUCUUUGAACGCACAUUGCGCCCCCUGGUAUUCCGGGGGGCAUGCCUGUUCGAGCGUCAUUUCACCACUCAAGCCUCGCUUGGUAUUGGGCAACGCGGUCCGCCGCGUGCCUCAAAUCGACCGGCUGGGUCUUCUGUCCCCUAAGCGUUGUGGAAACUAUUCGCUAAAGGGUGUUCGGGAGGCUACGCCGUAAAACAACCACAUUUCUAAGGUUGACCUCGGAUCAGGUAGGGAUACCCGCUGAACUUAAGCAUAUCAAUAAGCGGAGGA